AAUAGUACCAGAAUCUCUUUCCACAUAGAGGACAUUCUUUGGUUAUUACCACCAAUUGCGGAUGAGACAAAGAUUAAGUGGGCUACAAAAUAGGCAAACAUGUUGAUAGCAGACAGGGUAGCUUGUAAUGUCAGUUUAAAGAGAGACUUGCCUCAUUUGCAUUGCUCCAAAGUAAUGAAACCUAUUUCAUUUGAUUUUCAAAGGGGAAAAAAAAUUCAUUCCAAACGAAUCACCACAACUUUAUAGAAUAUAAAAGCAAUGACCAGCAGGCAGUGGGUGUGUUCAGCCGGUGGAAACAAUCAACACAGGCUAUAUCAGGUUGCGCUACUCAACUUGUCACUAAGGGAUCCAAAAUUACCUUUGCUUACUUUUCAGGAUCUCUUUUGAAGGAUCCAGCAGGAACCACACUUGCAGAUUCAUGAUUAGUACCACUCAUAACAUCUAAACCUUGUUCCUGGUUAGUUGAAUUUGGCCCAUGUAUCCGCUGAGGCCUGGCAUUAAGAUCAAUCAAUUUGUUGUCAAUCUUGCCAUCACCAUCAGUGUUAUUCUCCAUCAUUGAAAUGGGGGAUGCUCUGUGAUUUUGCUUAUUGUCUGUCAACCUGAGUUUACAUGCCAGCUUUUGGUCCCUCCUUACUUCAUUUUGAUCAAGAGCUUGCUGUCCAAGUUCAUCCAAAUGGCCAGGUUUGUCCCCUGGAAACU
rnacentral:misc_RNA from 1 species